CUCAUCAGGGCAAGAAGAUUUUAGGAUUGACAGAUUGAGAGUUCUUUCUUGAUUGGUCUAGUGGUGGUGCAUGGCCGUUCUUAGUUGGUGGAGUGAUUUGUCUGGUUAAUUCCGUUAACGAACGAGACCUUAACCUGCUAACUAGUACACUGAUUUCCAAUCGGUGUUACUUCUUAGAGGGACUAUGUGAUGUAAUCACAUGGAAGUUUGAGGCAAUAACAGGUCUGUGAUGCCCUUAGAUGUCCUGAGCUGCACGCGCGCUACAAUGACACAUUCAACGAGUAUUUCCUGACCCGAAAGGGCUCGGGUAAUCUUUUUAGUGUGUGUCGUGAUAGGGAUUGAUCUUUGUAAUUAUGGAUCAUGAACGAGGAAUUCCUAGUAAGCGCACGUCAUCAGCGUGUGCCGAUUACGUCCCUGCCG
rnacentral:rRNA from 1 species